rnacentral:rRNA from 1 species
GGAGUUAGCCGGUGCUUCUUCUGUGAGUGAUGUCCUUCCUGCCGGCUAUUAACCCGCAGGCCUUCUUCCUCACUGAAAGUGCUUUACAACCCGAAGGCCUUCUUCACACACGCGGCAUGGCUGGAUCAGGGUUGCCCCCAUUGUCCAAUAUUCCCCACUGCUGCCUCCCGUAGGAGUCUGGGCCGUGUCUCAGUCCCAGUGUGGCUGAUCAUCCUCUCAGACCAGCUACGGAUCGUCGCCUUGGUGAGCCGUUACCUCACCAACCAGCUAAUCCGACAUAGGCUCAUCCGAUAGCGCGAGGCCCGAAGGUCCCCCGCUUUCCCCCGUAGGGCGUAUGCGGUAUUAGCCUGGGUUUCCCCAGGUUAUCCCCCACUACCGGGCAGAUUCCUAUGCAUUACUCACCCGUCCGCCGCUCGCCACCAGGGAGCAAUCUCCCCGUGCUGCCGCUCGACUUGCAUGUGUUAGGCCUGCCGCCAGCGUUCAAUCUGAGCCAGAAUCAAACUCUGA